GACGAACGCUGGCGGCGUGCUUAACACAUGCAAGUCGAACGGUGAUGCUCCAGCUUGCUGGAGUGGAUCAGUGGCGAACGGGUGAGCAACACGUGAGCAACCUGCCCCAGACUCUGGAAUAAGCGCUGGAAACGGCGUCUAAUACUGGAUACGAAACUGGCCCGCAUGGGCAUGGUUUGGAAAGUUUUUCGGUUUGGGAUGGGCUCGCGGCCUAUCAGCUUGUUGGUGAGGUAAUGGCUCACCAAGGCGACGACGGGUAGCCGGCCUGAGAGGGCGACCGGCCACACUGGGACUGAGACACGGCCCAGACUCCUACGGGAGGCAGCAGUGGGGAAUAUUGCACAAUGGGCGAAAGCCUGAUGCAGCGACGCCGCGUGAGGGAUGACGGCCUUCGGGUUGUAAACCUCUUUCAGCAGGGAAGAAGCGAAAGUGACGGUACCUGCAGAAGAAGCACCGGCUAACUACGUG
rnacentral:rRNA from 1 species